rnacentral:miRNA from 1 species
GUAGCACCUUAGAGACCAACUAAGUUUGUUCUGGGUAUAAGAUUUCGUGUGCAUGCACACUUCUUCAGAUACACAUGCACAUGAAAACAUAUACCCAGAACAAACUUAGUUUGUCUCUAAGGUGCUAC